AUAAUGUAUAUCACGUGGCAGCUUGGGCGCCAUGACUCCAUCUCUUUGGUUGUAGUGCAGAUAUAUACUUCUGCAUCCGUUCGACUGUGUCUAUGAUGGCAGGUACUGAUGGAGGUAGUUCAAUGGGAGGUUCGUCCAACAACAUUGCUAAGGUUGAAGAUCAUUUUGGAGGGAUCAUCAUGCAGCCCCUGUGAUGUUCCUGCUGGAGGUAUAGGCACUCCAAGCCGGUUCAGCGACAUUCAGCUUGAUCCCCCCAAACAAUCUCGUGCCUUUGACCAAAACAGGUAUCAAUGCUUCUUCCUUCAGUGCAAUAGGAUGUGCGUUGUGUCUCCAUGGAAUGCUAGUAAGCACUGCACGUUUCGUUGGUGUGAUGUGGAAUCAACGUGACUUGGAUAGUGAGAUUCGGCUUGACUUCGACGAUCGUACUGGCAGAAUUCAGGCCAGGAUAUGGUAUUGAUUUGAACCCAAGUUUUUCUUCAUUGAGAUAGUAGCUUCUUUGUUGUUUUAAGAUCUUCAAUUCAUUCCUAUUAGGACGCUGGAAUCAGAAUUCAUGCUUUCCGUGAAUACUGCAAAGUAACUGCCUUGUUUGUCUACCGUUUUGUUUUUUCAAGUAUAUUCCUUGUGUACUUUGUCCAAAUGUGAUGCUUAAUUUGCUAUGCACAACACAAAGGAAUGGAGAAUGCAUUGUGAUGAAUGGUAGUAUCAGGGGG